GACGAACGCUGGCGGCGUGCUUAACACAUGCAAGUCGAGCGGUAAGGCCCUUUCGGGGGUACACGAGCGGCGAACGGGUGAGUAACACGUGGGUGACCUGCCCUCAGCUCUGGGAUAAGCCUGGGAAACCGGGUCUAAUACCGGAUAUGACUCCAUGACGCAUGUUGUGGGGUGGAAAGCCUUGUGCGGCUGAGGAUGGGCCCGCGGCCUAUCAGCCUGUUGGUGGGGUGAUGGCCUACCAAGGCGACGACGGGUAGCCGGCCUGAGAGGGCGACCGGCCACACUGGGACUGAGACACGGCCCAGACUCCUACGGGAGGCAGCAGUGGGGAAUCUUGCGCAAUGGGCGAAAGCCUGACGCAGCGACGCCGCGUGAGGGAUGACGGCCUGG
rnacentral:rRNA from 1 species